AACCCGGUCAGCUCAGUCCAGAUCUGUGGUCAUUGCUAACUCCUUUGUUUCAUUUUGUCCCUCUUCUCCUUCUCCUCUGGUAGCGAGAGAAUUACAAAAAUGUCAGGGCGCGGCGCCCGGCGUCAGCGGGGUUCAGAGACAGACUCCCCCCCCCAAGGACUUAACGGAAAAAGGGAAAUCUCCUUGAGAGCUAUAAGCCUAUUCGGAAUCAGGAAAGAUGGGUCAAGGGGCCCUUUCUAACUAACUAACUACCGCAUGAUUUAAUAUUAUCAUGAUGCUGCUUAUGACGGUAACAUCUACGGAGAAUUAAAAUGUUCUUCCUUGGAUUUGUUCCCUUUUCCUGUCCGUCCUUCUCUUCAUCAUGCCUGGUUGCAAGAUACCAUUAACUAGUAAGCAAGGAAACAAAAAAAAUACGAAAACAGAACAAAAAGAAGAAAAGCAGAAUGUUACGGUUGCAAGGGGACAAUUUAUGAUGGGUGAUGGAGGAUGGGAUGGUUUCCACAUCCUUUUUUUGCUUCUGCAAAAAGGGCAAAAGGCGAACAAAAAAAAUAACAACCUCCCACAAGCUCCAUGCCCAAUCACUUUUUCCUUUGCUUCCUCAGAUAAACCAACUAUAUCAAAGCACAAGCAAAAAAGCAAAAAGCAUUGACAGCUGCAGCUCUGCUGCAAGCCUUCGGUAUUGACGUGGUAAUGUAUCAUGUAUGGCGCCGGUACUAGUAUAGAUUACACCGGAUCACCUCGGGGUUCACGCCACCCAGGUGGAAAGGUGGGAGCGGGCGGUCUUUGGUUGGCUGGUGGAUGACGAGAAGAUCGAGGGAAGAGGGAAGAGGGAAAAGGCGAUGAUGAUGAUGCUGCUGAUGAUGAUGGCUUGGUUCUUCUAGUCGUGACAUCGUUAGUACAACCCCCCUGUAGUGAGUGAGGCUGUGCAGACAACUGCAGAGUUUGUCCCGGAGAAAAAGGGAAAAAAGCCAUCGUUGGUAUGAUCUGACUGUGGGUGAGAAUGUGAGAAUGUGAGAAUGUGAUUUCUCCAGAAUGAGUCUAGAGGAGAGAGAGAGACAGUGAG
rnacentral:sRNA from 2 species